rnacentral:rRNA from 1 species
AUUGAAGCUUGCUUUGAACUGUUUUAGUGGCGGACGGGUGAGUAACGCGUGAGGAACCUGCCUUUCAGAGGGGGAUAACGUCUGGAAACGGACGCUAAUACCGCAUGACAUUUUGUUGCCGCAUGGUGAUAAAAUCAAAGGAGCAAUCCGCUGAGAGAUGGACUCGCGUCCGAUUAGCCGGUUGGCGGGGUAACGGCCCACCAAAGCAACGAUCGGUAGCCGGGCUGAGAGGCUGAACGGCCACAUUGGGACUGAGACACGGCCCAGACUCCUACGGGAGGCAGCAGUGGGGGAUAUUGCACAAUGGAGGAAACUCUGAUGCAGCAACGCCGCGUGAGGGAAGAAGGUUUUCGGAUUGUAAACCUCUGUCCUCAGGGACGAUAAUGACGGUACCUGAGGAGGAAGCUCCGGCUAACUACGUGCCAGCAGCCGCGGUAAUACGUAGGGAGCAAGCGUUGUCCGGAUUUACUGGGUGUAAAGGGUGCGUAGGCGGCACUGCAAGUCAGGUGUGAAAACCAUGGGCUUAACUUAUGGAUUGCACUUGAAACUGUGGUGCUUGAGUGAAGUAGAGGCAGGCGGAAUUCCCGGUGUAGCGGUGAAAUGCGUAGAGAUCGGGAGGAACACCAGUGGCGAAGGCGGCCUGCUGGGCUUUAACUGACGCUGAGGCACGAAAGCAUGGGUAGCAAACAGGAUUAGAUACCCUGGUAGUCCAUGCCGU